CCUACGGGUGGCUGCAGUGAGGAAUAUUGGUCAAUGGGCGUAAGCCUGAACCAGCCAAGUCGCGUGAGGGAUGAAGGUUCUAUGGAUCGUAAACCUCUUUUAUAGGGGAAUACAGUGCGGGACGUGUCCCGCUUUGUAUGUACCUUAUGUAUAAGGAUCGGCUAACUCCGUGCCAGCAGCCGCGGUAAUACGGAGGGUCCGGGCGUUAUCCGGAUUUGUUGGGUUUAAAGGGUGCGUAGGCGGCAUUUUAAGUCAGCGGUGAAAGUCCGUGGCUCAACCAUAGAAUUGCCGUUGAAACUGGGAGGCUGGAGUAUGUUGGAGGCAGGCGGAAUGCGUGGUGUAGCGGUGAAAUGCUUAGAUAUCACGCAGAACCCCGAUGGCGAAGGCAGCCAGCCAAGCCAUGACUGACGCUGAUGCACGAAAGCGUGGGGAUCAAACAGGAUUAGAUACCCGAGUAGUC
rnacentral:rRNA from 1 species